CGAGUCUCACCCUAUCUGUCGAAGGGAAGAGAAGACAGGAGCGCCAUCCAGAUGGCUUGCCAUCGCCAUCUCCAUCAACGGCGAUCACUGCAAAUAAUGAACGGCGGAGGUUCGGGGGAAAUCCGACAGAGGUCGACGGAGGGAUAAUCGUUUGGUCAAGAGGUGAAUAAAGGGAGAAGGAAGGUUGAGGGGGAGGGAAGGAGGUCUUGUGCAAAGAGGUGAACAGAGGUAAACAAUAUAGUUAUUUUGUGAAGUAGGAAGAAAGGAGGAAGUGGACUUGUAGAUGUUCAACGAAAUGCCAAAGCGAUCCUAGCGUAGCUACACCAGCGCACGCCUAGCGCAUGCCCGUGCACACCAAUGCACGCCUAGCGCAUGCUCGCUCACACCAGCGCACGCCCAGUGCAUGCCCGCGCACACCCCCGCUCACCCGAGCACCCUUCUAAUACCACAAAGGUUUUUUACCCAUGUGGUGGUGGGGAGUGUGUACUUGUCGUGGCGUGGAAUGGGAAGGCUGAGAAUGCUAGGCGGGAAUUCUAUGGUUGUCACUACUACAUAGGUUAUACAAAACCUUAGUUAUUGUUGUAGUUUGUUAACGUUUCAUGUAACACAAUUUUUUUGUUAUUGUUGUAUUUUGACGGUGAUAGAAGAUGUAAUUUCUUUUGUUGGAAUGAUGAGAUACGGUGUUGUCCAUGUGGAAAUGGGGUUUGCGGGAUCUUCACAUCUAAAUGGCCCGGUAUACAAGGGAGACGAUUUUGGGUUUGCACAAAGCCCCAAGAUGCAGAUGGGUGUAAGUUCUUUGCAUGGAUACCAAGGAAACCACAAGUCCAAUAGAGUGUAACCAUCAAAGGAGAUGUGGCAAGACCUUCUAAAGACCCACUAGAUGAGGUUGAAGCAGUUGUCCGGUCAAAGAAGGAUAAAUUCGAUAAAAUGUCUGAAUUUUGUGAUAAGUUGUUGGGUCGUAUAAAAAAUCUGAGAAUCAAAAAUGUAUAAUCUGAUUUUGGCC